CAACAUGUUUAUUUGGAGUUAUAAAUAAUUUGGCCUGCCCCCUGAUUAGAAUUAAAGGGCCGCAGUAUUAUAACUGUGCAAAGGUAGCAUAAUCAUUAGAUUUUUAAUUAGAAUCUUGUAUGAAUGGUCGGACAAAAGAGAGGCUCUCUUUAUAUUAAAUUUUGAAUUUAACUUUUAAGUGAAAAGGCUUAAAUAUACUAAGGGGACGAUAAGACCCUAUAAAACUUUACAUUAUAAUUAUAUUUUAGUAAAUUUAUGGAUAAAUAUUUAAUUUAAUUAUUUGUUAGGCUGGGGAGGUGUAAAUAAACAUUAUUUUAACUGUUUGAUAGUUAUACAGCUAUUAGUGGUAAAUGUAAAAGAUCCUUUAUUAAAGAUUAAUAAAUUAAGUUACUUUAGGGAUAACAGCGUAAUUUCUUUUGAGAGUUCUUAUCGAAAAAGAAGAUUGCGACCUCGAUGUUGAAUUAAAAAAUUCUAUAUAAUGAAGAAGUUAUAUAAGAAGGUCUGUUCGACCUUUAAAAGUUUACAUGAUUUGAGUUCAAACCGGUGUGAGCCA
rnacentral:rRNA from 1 species